UACGGGGGGGCAAGCGUUGUUCGGAAUUACUGGGCGUAAAGGGCUCGUAGGCGGCCAACUAAGUCAGACGUGAAAUCCCUCGGCUUAACCGGGGAACUGCAUCUGAUACUGGAUGGCUUGAGUUCGGGAGAGGGAUGUGGAAUUCCAGGUGUAGCGGUGAAAUGCGUAGAUAUCACUUGGAACGCCAAUGGUGAAGACAGCUCGCUGGGGGGUGUCCUGACGCUGAGGCGCGAAAGCCAGGGGAGCGAACGGG
rnacentral:rRNA from 1 species